rnacentral:rRNA from 1 species
UACGUAGGGUCCGAGCGUUGUCCGGAAUUACUGGGCGUAAAGAGCUCGUAGGUGGUUUGUCGCGUUGUUCGUGAAAACUCACAGCUUAACUGUGGGCGUGCGGGCGAUACGGGCAGACUUGAGUACUGCAGGGGAGACUGGAAUUCCUGGUGUAGCGGUGGAAUGCGCAGAUAUCAGGAGGAACACCAAUGGCGAAAGCAGGUACCUGGACUAGUACUGACACUCAGCUGCGAAAGCUAGGGGAGCAAACAGG